rnacentral:rRNA from 1 species
UACGGAGGGUGCAAGCGUUGUUCGGAAUUACUGGGCGUAAAGAGCUUGUAGGCGGCCCGUUAAGUCUGAUGUGAAAGCCCUCGGCUCAACCGGGGAAGUGCAUUGGAUACUGGCGGGCUUGAGUAUGGGAGAGGAGAGCGGAAUUCCCGGUGUAGAGGUGAAAUUCGUAGAUAUCGGGAGGAACAUCUGUGGCGAAGGCGGCUCUCUGGACCAAUACUGACGCUGAGAAGCGAAAGCGUGGGGAGCAAACAGGAUUAGAAACCCGAGUAGU